rnacentral:rRNA from 1 species
UACAGAGGGUGCAAGCGUUAAUCGGAAUUACUGGGCGUAAAGCGCGCGUAGGUGGUUCGUUAAGUUGGAUGUGAAAUCCCCGGGCUCAACCUGGGAACUGCAUUCAAAACUGUCGAGCUAGAGUAUGGUAGGAGGGUGGUGGAAUUUCCUGUGUAGCGGUGAAAUGCGUAGAUAUAGGAAGGAACACCAGUGGCGAAGGCGACCACCUGGACUGAUACUGACACUGAGGUGCGAAAGCGUGGGGAGCAAACAGG